rnacentral:rRNA from 1 species
GACAGAGGUUGCAAACGUUGUUCGGAAUCACUGGGCGUAAAGCGCGCGUAGGCGGCGCGGUAUGUCGUGCGUGAAAUCUCCCGGCUUAACUGGGAGGGCCGUGCGAAACUGCCGGGCUUGAGGUCAGAAGGGGAAAGUGGAAUUCCGGGUGUAGUGGUGGAAUACGUAGAUAUCCGGAGGAACACCAGCGGCGAAGGCGCUUUCUGGCCUGUUCUUGACGCUGAGGCGGCGAAAAGCUGAGGGGAGCAAACGGGG